GGGCACGUAACUGUAGCGGGCAGAGUUUCUCCUUACUGAAUCAGUUCGCUCACUCCCAUUUCAUCCAUGGACUCCAGCCUGCGGCCUGCAGGACUUCCCAGCAAAUCACCAGCACCCAUGGGGAUGUGGCAGUGAAGAAAAGAACUGGAAAGAAACCACACUGUGCUCCAGUAACACUAGCUGCUUGGUGGGACCUGCUGUCUCUCCAAGCCAGUGAGCUCCAUGUCCAGGCAGGAAUGUUUGUGCCCAAGCCACCCGCUCUUGGGAAAGCCUCCUGCUGCACCCCGAGGCGCAAAGGGCAGAGUUAAGAAGGAAGCCACAGCCCCAUCUAAUGGCCUGCAAACUCAUCGCUAAGCUCCAAGUGUGAGUAAAGGGUGACAUCCCAUUGGGUGGCUGUGCAACACCGCUGUUCGGGGUCCUCUUGCAUGUCUGUGUGGCCAGAUUGCCGACACCCAAACCCUAGCUGUACAAAAUGUAUCCUGAAAAUGCAUUGCCAACUCCACCAGGAGAGCAAAUGGAGCCAGAACUUCAAUGGGAGCGGGAGCAGACCUGUGGAAGUGGGUAUGAAGUCUCUGAACUUACUUCUAGAUUAAUGCCGUAGUUCUCGCUGAUGAAAACUAACCAUAAAGCACAAAAGCGGCUCCAUCCAUCCAUCCCAGCUGAUCUGACGUACUGCUGGAGAGGAGUGAUCCUGAAGGACUUCAUUAAUGGCAUGAGGCAAU